GGUUAAGCGACUAAGCGUACACGGUGGAUGCCCUGGCAGUCAGAGGCGAUGAAGGACGUGCUAAUCUGCGAUAAGCGUCGGUAAGGUGAUAUGAACCGUUAUAACCGGCGAUUUCCGAAUGGGGAAACCCAGUGUGAUUCGUCACACUAUCAUUAACUGAAUCCAUAGGUUAAUGAGGCGAACCGGGGGAACUGAAACAUCUAAGUACCCCGAGGAAAAGAAAUCAACCGAGAUUCCCCCAGUAGCGGCGAGCGAACGGGGAGCAGCCCAGAGCCUGAAUCAGUGUGUGUGUUAGUGGAAGCGUCUGGAAAGGCGCGCGAUACAGGGUGACAGCCCCGUACACAAAAAUGCACAUGCUGUGAGCUCGAUGAGUAGGGCGGGACACGUGGUAUCCUGUCUGAAUAUGGGGGGACCAUCCUCCAAGGCUAAAUACUCCUGACUGACCGAUAGUGAACCAGUACCGUGAGGGAAAGGCGAAAAGAACCCCGGCGAGGGGAGUGAAAAAGAACCUGAAACCGUGUACGUACAAGCAGUGGGAGCCACGCUUAGGCGUGUGACUGCGUACCUUUUGUAUAAUGGGUCAGCGACUUAUAUUCUGUAGCAAGGUUAACCGAAUAGGGGAGCCGAAGGGAAACCGAGUCUUAACUGGGCGUUAAGUUGCAGGGUAUAGACCCGAAACCCGGUGAUCUAGCCAUGGGCAGGUUGAAGGUUGGGUAACACUAACUGGAGGACCGAACCGACUAAUGUUGAAAAAUUAGCGGAUGACUUGUGGCUGGGGGUGAAAGGCCAAUCAAACCGGGAGAUAGCUGGUUCUCCCCGAAAGCUAUUUAGGUAGCGCCUCGUGAAUUCAUCUCCGGGGGUAGAGCACUGUUUCGGCAAGGGGGUCAUCCCGACUUACCAACCCGAUGCAAACUGCGAAUACCGGAGAAUGUUAUCACGGGAGACACACGGCGGGUGCUAACGUCCGUCGUGAAGAGGGAAACAACCCAGACCGCCAGCUAAGGUCCCAAAGUCAUGGUUAAGUGGGAAACGAUGUGGGAAGGCCCAGACAGCCAGGAUGUUGGCUUAGAAGCAGCCAUCAUUUAAAGAAAGCGUAAUAGCUCACUGGUCGAGUCGGCCUGCGCGGAAGAUGUAACGGGGCUAAACCAUGCACCGAAGCUGCGGCAGCGACGCUUAUGCGUUGUUGGGUAGGGGAGCGUUCUGUAAGCCUGUGAAGGUGUGCUGUGAGGCAUGCUGGAGGUAUCAGAAGUGCGAAUGCUGACAUAAGUAACGAUAAAGCGGGUGAAAAGCCCGCUCGCCGGAAGACCAAGGGUUCCUGUCCAACGUUAAUCGGGGCAGGGUGAGUCGACCCCUAAGGCGAGGCCGAAAGGCGUAGUCGAUGGGAAACAGGUUAAUAUUCCUGUACUUGGUGUUACUGCGAAGGGGGGACGGAGAAGGCUAUGUUGGCCGGGCGACGGUUGUCCCGGUUUAAGCGUGUAGGCUGGUUUUCCAGGCAAAUCCGGAAAAUCAAGGCUGAGGCGUGAUGACGAGGCACUACGGUGCUGAAGCAACAAAUGCCCUGCUUCCAGGAAAAGCCUCUAAGCAUCAGGUAACAUCAAAUCGUACCCCAAACCGACACAGGUGGUCAGGUAGAGAAUACCAAGGCGCUUGAGAGAACUCGGGUGAAGGAACUAGGCAAAAUGGUGCCGUAACUUCGGGAGAAGGCACGCUGAUAUGUAGGUGAAGUCCCUCGCGGAUGGAGCUGAAAUCAGUCGAAGAUACCAGCUGGCUGCAACUGUUUAUUAAAAACACAGCACUGUGCAAACACGAAAGUGGACGUAUACGGUGUGACGCCUGCCCGGUGCCGGAAGGUUAAUUGAUGGGGUCAGCGCAAGCGAAGCUCUUGAUCGAAGCCCCGGUAAACGGCGGCCGUAACUAUAACGGUCCUAAGGUAGCGAAAUUCCUUGUCGGGUAAGUUCCGACCUGCACGAAUGGCGUAAUGAUGGCCAGGCUGUCUCCACCCGAGACUCAGUGAAAUUGAACUCGCUGUGAAGAUGCAGUGUACCCGCGGCAAGACGGAAAGACCCCGUGAACCUUUACUAUAGCUUGACACUGAACAUUGAGCCUUGAUGUGUAGGAUAGGUGGGAGGCUUAGAAGUGUGGACGCCAGUCUGCAUGGAGCCGACCUUGAAAUACCACCCUUUAAUGUUUGAUGUUCUAACGUUGACCCGUAAUCCGGGUUGCGGACAGUGUCUGGUGGGUAGUUUGACUGGGGCGGUCUCCUCCUAAAGAGUAACGGAGGAGCACGAAGGUUGGCUAAUCCUGGUCGGACAUCAGGAGGUUAGUGCAAUGGCAUAAGCCAGCUUGACUGCGAGCGUGACGGCGCGAGCAGGUGCGAAAGCAGGUCAUAGUGAUCCGGUGGUUCUGAAUGGAAGGGCCAUCGCUCAACGGAUAAAAGGUACUCCGGGGAUAACAGGCUGAUACCGCCCAAGAGUUCAUAUCGACGGCGGUGUUUGGCACCUCGAUGUCGGCUCAUCACAUCCUGGGGCUGAAGUAGGUCCCAAGGGUAUGGCUGUUCGCCAUUUAAAGUGGUACGCGAGCUGGGUUUAGAACGUCGUGAGACAGUUCGGUCCCUAUCUGCCGUGGGCGCUGGAGAACUGAGGGGGGCUGCUCCUAGUACGAGAGGACCGGAGUGGACGCAUCACUGGUGUUCGGGUUGUCAUGCCAAUGGCACUGCCCGGUAGCUAAAUGCGGAAGAGAUAAGUGCUGAAAGCAUCUAAGCACGAAACUUGCCCCGAGAUGAGUUCUCCCUGACUCCUUGAGAGUCCUGAAGGAACGUUGAAGACGACGACGUUGAUAGGCCGGGUGUGUAAGCGCAGCGAUGCGUUGAGCUAACCGGUACUAAUGAACCGUGAGGCUUAACCUUAC
rnacentral:rRNA from 1 species